rnacentral:rRNA from 1 species
GAUGAACGCUGGCGGCGUGCCUAAUACAUGCAAGUCGAGCGAACAGACGAGGAGCUUGCUCCUCUGACGUUAGCGGCGGACGGGUGAGUAACACGUGGAUAACCUACCUAUAAGACUGGGAUAACUUCGGGAAACCGGAGCUAAUACCGGAUAAUAUAUUGAACCGCAUGGUUCAAUAGUGAAAGACGGUUUUGCUGUCAAUUAUAGAUGGAUCCGCGCCGCAUUAGCUAGUUGGUAAGGUAACGGCUUACCAAGGCAACGAUGCGUAGCCGACCAGAGAGAGUGAUCGGCCACACUGGAACAGAGACACGGUCCAGACUGCGACGGGAGGCAGCAGUAGGGAAUCUUCCGCAAUGGGCGAAAGCAUGACGGAGCAACGCCGCGUGAGUGAUGAAGGUCUUCGGACCGUAAAACUCUGUUAUUAGGGAAGAACAAAUGUGUAAGUAACUAUGCACGUCUUGACGGUACCUAAUCAGAAAGCCACGGCUAACUCCGUG